UACGUAGGAGGCAAGCGUUGUCCGGAAUUACUGGGCGUAAAGCGCGUGUAGGUGGUGGGACAAGUCUGCUGUGAAAGCCCCGGGCUUAACCUGGGAACUGCGUUUGAAACUGGGAGACUUGAGUGUGGCAGAGGGGGGUGGAAUUCCACGUGUAGCAGUGAAAUGCGUAGAUAUGUGGAGGAACACCGAUGGCGAAGGCAGCCCCCUGGGUUAACACUGACGCUCAUGCACGAAAGCGUGGGGAGCAAACAGG
rnacentral:rRNA from 1 species